rnacentral:rRNA from 1 species
CAAUAGCGUAUAUUUAAGUUGCUGCAGUUAAAAAGCUCGUAGUUGGAUUUCGGGUGGGAAUGGCCGGUCCGCCGUUUCGGUGUGCACUUGCUACGCCCACCUUGCUGCCGGGGACGUGCUCUUGAGUUCACGCUCGGGACACGGAGUCGGCGAGGUUACUUUGAGUAAAUUAGAGUGUUCAAAGCAGGCCUACGCUCUGAAUACAUUAGCAUGGAAUAACACGAUAGGACUCUGGCCUAUCUUGUUGGUCUGUAGGACCGGAGUAAUGAUUAAAAGGGACAGUCGGGGGCAUUCGUAUUCCGUUGUCAGAGGUGAAAUUCUUGGAUUUACGGAAGACGAACUUCUGCGAAAGCAUUUGCCAAGGAUGUUUUCAUUAA